GUGAGAAGAUCAGAACCUCGACUCCACUUCAUGUCGUCACUAUGUCAGAGAUGGCUGCUAUCGUCUUGUUCGUAGCCUCUUUUAUCUACCUUCUCGGAUUCUUCGGGAUGAGCUUCGUCCAAGCCACCCCAUAUUCCGAUGAUGAGGAAGAAGAGUUGGAAGUUGAUGAAACCGAAAUGGUUAGGAAAGAAGACACUCGUACCACCCCAUGUGGUGCUGCACUUGACUGUGAAUCCGACGUGGUUGUGAAGCAAGUAGUGAAGAAGGAGUUGGUGUUCGUGCCAACUGACACAACAACUGUGACCGAAGAGGAUGAGGAGAUUAUAAAAUCAGUGGUUUCAGGUAAAACACCAUCUUACUCGUUGGAAACAAAGCUUGGGGACUGCAAGCGUGCAGCUUUCAUCAGGAGGGUGGCGCUUGAGAGAAUCACCGGAAA
rnacentral:lncRNA from 1 species